rnacentral:rRNA from 1 species
CUACGUGCCAGCAGCCGCGGUAAUACGUAGGUGGCAAGCGUUGUCCGGAAUUAUUGGGCGUAAAGCGCGCGCAGGCGGAUUGGUCAGUCUGUCUUAAAAGUUCGGGGCUUAACCCCGUGAUGGGAUGGAAACUGCCAAUCUAGAGUAUCGGAGAGGAAAGUGGAAUUCCUAGUGUAGCGGUGAAAUGCGUAGAUAUUAGGAAGAACACCAGUGGCGAAGGCGACUUUCUGGACGAAAACUGACGCUGAGGCGCGAAAGCCAGGGGAGCGAACGGGAUUAGAUACCCCGGUAGUCCUAGCCGUAAACGAUGGGUACUAGGUGUAGGAGGUAUCGACCCCUUCUGUGCCGGAGUUAACGCAAUAAGUACCCCGCCUGGGGAGUACGGCCGCAAGGUUGAAACUCAAAGGAAUUGACGGGGGCCCGCACAAGCGGUGGAGUAUGUGGUUUAAUUCGACGCAACGCGAAGAACCUUACCAAGCCUUGACAU